rnacentral:rRNA from 1 species
GAGGAAUAUUGGUCAAUGGGCGCAAGCCUGAACCAGCCAAGUAGCGUGCAGGAAGACGGCCCUAUGGGUUGUAAACUGCUUUUAUACGAGAAUAAUUUGAUGCACGUGUGCGUUAUUGCAUGUAUCGUAUGAAUAAGGACCGGCUAAUUCCGUGCCAGCAGCCGCGGUAAUACGGAAGGUCCGGGCGUUAUCCGGAUUUAUUGGGUUUAAAGGGAGCGUAGGCCGGAGAUUAAGUGUGUUGUGAAAUGUAGACGCUCAACGUCUGACUUGCAGCGCAUACUGGUUUCCUUGAGUGCGCACAACGUUGGCGGAAUUCGUCGUGUAGCGGUGAAAUGCUUAGAUAUGACGAAGAACUCCGAUUGCGAAGGCAGCUGACGGGAGCGCAACUGACGCUGAAGCUCGAAGGUGCGGGUAUCGAACAGGAUUAGAUACCCUGGUAGUCCGCACAGUAAACGAUGGAUGCCCGCUGUUGGUACCUGGUAUCAGCGGCUAAGCGAAAGCAUUAAGCAUCCCACCUGGGGAGUACGCCGGCAACGGUG